GUUAGAUAAAAUAUUAGCCUAUUUUGAGCCCUUUGUGUUUCGUGUGCAAACCCCAAAUUCAAAUCCCAAACGUCGAACACAAACUCACUGGGAACACUCGCUUGAUAACGAAGGACAGGGGAAAAAUUUUCCUGUCAUCGUCCACUGAACGAACAGCAGCUACAUCCGCUUCGCCUCACUGCACACGAACAUCAGCAUCGACCGAACAGUGAAGAUAGUGGAGUUGCAUGCCGGAGUGCUGUAAAGUGUUGUCCGUCGAAAACAGUGAAAACCGUUCGGUGCGAGUGAAGUUGCAGGGCAUCACUCGGAGUGCAUGAAGAGUGCGUGAAUCAGAAGCCACCCACAACUUGGGCCCGUCAAUUGUCCGCUGCAAGGGACCAGCAUCCGCGGAAUAGCAAACUUCUGCAUCUCGAGAGCACACCACGAAAACCCGGCGUGGUUCCGAACAGAAAGUAAACCCGCGACGAGCAAGGCCAAGUGGCUACGGGGGCGAUCAUCGUGCAUCUUUGGACAACCGGACACGUGCAGAACUAUCACGGGAGGAACACCCGGGGAAUCUAGGCCAAAACUGUUCCCGGCGAGUGUGAAUGCGCAGCUUGGAAACGAGCGUAACCUUGUGCGACGGGUACAAUUUGAGUGCGUGGACGUUCUAAAUUGCGAUCCAAGCGACAGCGUCCGGCAGACAUCAUCGGAGAGACGACGACAGCACUGCCCCAGCGGUGCAACGAUUGGCAUUCUAGUUGCACGAUAGACGGAGCAAAGCAGCAUCAUCCCAAAUUGUGCGGAAAGCGGCACUGGAACCUGAUCAACUACGCUUCUUCGCAAAACAAUCUUGAAGAUUGGC